rnacentral:lncRNA from 1 species
AAUAAUAUUUAUAUAUUUAUAUUAUACCCAUAAUAAUAUGAUAUAAAUACGAGAUAUUUUAUGCACCAGAAUACACUUUUAUAUUCUUAUUGUCAAGAUCAACUGAACCAGCCAACUCAAUGCCACGUGUGAUUUAUGGUCCAAUUGGAUUAGACUUGUAGAAUACUAACGGUAGAAAAAGCCUGGAUACCCAAUUUGCUGAAAUUUUAUAUUAGUAGGAGUGCUAUCUACUUGACAUAUGAUUAUAAUUGUGCCAACCCAACACGAAAUUCACACGCUUUAUAGCUCUUCUUCAGUUCAACUACAAACAGUCUUAUUCCUCCCAAUUUUGCUGGUUGGAUACAGCUAUUCUCCUUCCAACCAAUCUCCUCUGCUUCCCUCCUUUUACAAUUACUCUUGCAUUAUUCUGUUAGCUUAAGAUCUCCCAAGAAUUAGAAGAAGAAACAGGAGGUUCAUAUCUCAAGGUAAUCUAUCUAAAUUACUCAUAUUUUUGCUCAAUUAUAGCAGAGUUUUAGUUAAGGGGUAACCUUUUUGUUUUGCCAAUUGAGUAAUGGGUAAUCAUUGGUUUUGUAUAUUUGAUCAGGUCAAAGAAGAAGAUGGGUCAUCAUCAUCAUGAAGGAAAUAGACCAUAUGGUGAUCCAUUCUUGGCAUGUUGUUGUUGUCCUUGUUUUGUAGUUUCUUCUACUUUCUCUGUGUUAAAGAGGUGCCUCUUUGUAGUAUGUUUCCCUGUUUUGCAGUGCUUUGGAUUGGAUGAACACAGACAUCAACAUCAUCACCACAGACAUUUCUGAUACCUCAAUUUAAAGGAAAACACUGAUUUUUUAGUCUGCAAUUCACAGAAAGAUUAUGUUCUGAUUUGCUCAUUUGAAAGAUACAUAGAUUCAUUAAUGUUGUUUCAAGUUUCAACUUAAUUAGUUGUUGGGUAGUAUUUUACCUUGUAUUCUGCUAGUUUACUUUGACUUAUUAGCAUGUUUGUUUUACCUUGAAACAAAAAGGGAUUUGCUGCCACAAAUUAUUAAUCACAAAAUUUAUUUUGUUUUAUCGAGACUUGGUUGAGGUUUGUUGACCACAAAUAGUCCUAUUUGUAUAUAGUUAGAUACUACAGUACUUGUGCACCUUGCACAGUGGUCAUGAGUUCCUUUCUGCCUUUUCUGUUUCUAGAAUGCCAAGCAUAUCUCCUUGGGUCUCUUUGAGUAUUUGAUUAUGUUGAUCGGGCCGUUUGGUUUCUUUAGUUGAUACAUUCCAGCAUUUUAGAGUCGUAA